rnacentral:rRNA from 1 species
AUGAACGCUGGCGGCGUGCCUAAUACAUGCAAGUCGAGCGAACAGACGAGGAGCUUGCUCCUCUGACGUUAGCGGCGGACGGGUGAGUAACACGUGGAUAACCUACCUAUAAGACUGGGAUAACUUCGGGAAACCGGAGCUAAUACCGGAUAAUAUAUUGAACCGCAUGGUUCAAUAGUGAAAGACGGUUUUGCUGUCACUUAUAGAUGGAUCCGCGCCGCAUUAGCUAGUUGGUAAGGUAACGGCUUACCAAGGCAACGAUGCGUAGCCGACCUGAGAGGGUGAUCGGCCACACUGGAACUGAGACACGGUCCAGACUCCUACGGGAGGCAGCAGUAGGGAAUCUUCCGCAAUGGGCGAAAGCCUGACGGAGCAACGCCGCGUGAGUGAUGAAGGUCUUCGGAUCGUAAAACUCUGUUAUUAGGGAAGAACAAAUGUGUAAGUAACUAUGCACGUCUUGACGGUACCUAAUCAGAAAGCCACGGCUAACUACGUC